ACCAGGUGUGAACACGAUGCAGCACCAGGCAGGCGAUGGAACCCUGCUGAAGGGGCAUUCAGAUGGGGAACAUUCCAUUACACUGUCUGCACAAACACCCGUCUCUGAGCUUACUUAGGAUGCAUUUUUUCCACAUCCUUCAUCAAAGCUGAAUAAUUCUGCACAAAAUAACCAACUGUGUGUUGAAUAAGAAAGAGGGGCUGUACCACUGCAAGCAAAUAGAAUGUAUUCCUCAAAAAAAAGUUUGGCUAGUCUUGGCUGAUCAAAAUGUUCGAUGGCUGCUGUCUGAAUUGCAGAAAUUCCACAAGCGGGACUGUCCAGACCCUCUAUUCGCCCCUCGUCUCCGCGCCGCUUCCCGCCCGGCGGCUCUGAGGUACCGCCACGAGGCGCCCCGUGCCUAGGCGCGAGGCUGAGGCGCCGCUGUGUGAGGAGCCGUCCGCCGCGUUCAGGACGCUGUGCUGAAGCACAGCUGCAGACAGUGCUCCGUAUAGAUGCACAGGUCUAGUAGAAAAUUGUCUCUAGCUAGCAAAUACGCGUUCAGCACAGAUGGAAACUUGGCCUGCAGCCAUUUUAUUGACCUGAAGGGAAGGUGCUUUUCAAAGCUUAACUGGAGCUGUUUAACCACUAACACUCUUUACAAGAAGCAACCUCCCUCCACCCCAACUCCUCUUCAAAAUCAAGGCAUUCAGAUGUCCAAAUCUCUUAAUGUUAAAGAACUCUAAGGGAAGGAUGAUCAAAGAAGCAGAUGAUUUAUAAAGACAAGAGAAGGUAGUUCGGCUCAGUAAUUCCGUGCUAGAGUCGGUGCUGUUUGACUUCAGAAGAGCAUGAAUGUAUGGCCCACAGAGCUACCUCCUAAGGUAAUGAGGAACAGUGAACCCUGCAACUCUGGAAAGAGGCAGAAGUUUGGCUAGAGCAAACUUUUGCUGGAGUUCAAAAAGGCACUUUUGACUAUUCAUACGGACA